CUUAUAAUCGAGGUUGUCUUCUAAUCGAGAUCGUCUUGUAAUCGAGGUCGUCUUCUAACCGAGGUCAUCUUCCAAUCGAGGUCGUCUUCUAACUCAGGUAAUGUAUCACGAUUCAUCAAACCAUAGGGCAGAGAUUCCAUGGGGCUAGGUGGCCCACACCCCCCAUACACCUUGCAGCUCUUCAUGAACCUGACUGAUCAAUUGAUUCCACCAGCUGCAACAUCCAUUCUCUCCUUCCACCGGCUCUUUAAAAAUGUCACCAAUCACAAGCGAGCAGGUAUCUGGACAGCGGACGUUGUCCGGGUAACGAAGAUUUAAAAAGCGCGGGCAGCGUUGAAGGGCUUUUUUCCCCGUGUUGAGAUGCUGGCUGUAUGCAUUAGUUCUUUCCAAACCCAAUAGAUUUGUUACUUUUUCU